rnacentral:rRNA from 1 species
GUGUCAGCCGCCGCGGUAAUACGUAGGGGGCAAGCGUUGUCCGGAAUCAUUGGGCGUAAAGCGCGCGUAGGCGGCCCGGUAAGUCCGUUGUGAAAGUCAAAGGCUCAACCUUUGAACGCCGAUGGAUACUGCCGGGCUAGAGUCCGGAAGAGGCGAGUGGAAUUCCUGGUGUAGCGGUGGAAUGCGCAGAUAUCAGGAGGAACACCAAUAGCGAAGGCAGCUCGCUGGGACGGUACUGACGCUGAGGCGCGAAAGCGUGGGGAGCGAACAGGAUUAGAAACCCUGGUAGUCC